GGACUGGAGGAGUUUAGCGGUGUCGGAGGGCGGCGGGAGGUUGUCAGCGACCUGGCCGUAGUUGACUCCGAUGAAGGACUGUGAGUCUGCAAUCAAAGCAAAUCGUUUCAGUGGGGUUUUUCCCUACUUACGAGAUGAGAAGUAAUUACGUACCUGCAGAAAGGAAAGCGGUGAAUAAGAGGAAGACAAGGAGGAUGGGGAAGUGCGAAAGCGACGACGCCAUGGACGAUGACGAUGAAGUGUGUCGACAGUCAGAAACUGUGUGCUGUUUUUGUGCAGAGUGCGGAAGACGACGGACUUCAGACCCCAAAAAAACAAGUUGAGGGUAACGGUAAGAAAGUAAGCAAGGUAACACUGAACUCAAGUGCUCACGUGCGAUGGGACCCCACCUGUCUCUCAGUCUUCUCGUUGACGUAUGCCAAAUAUUUGUUAAAGCGUGUUAAUUUUUCCUAACAAAUGCUUUUACGCACGAGUAGUGUUAAGGAAACACUUUUAAAGUUAAAUUUUCUGACAUUUUAUAAUUAACGUUAAUUUUUAUUUUAAUAUUAUAAAAUAUUGUGUCAAAAAAAUAACGUAGCGAAUAAUCUAUGAAUAGUCCUAUUUUUUAAAAAACUUUCUUAGCAUUUCUCUUUCCGCAAUUCAUAACUUUCUACCAUUCCCUAUUGGUCUUUUCUAUUUAAUUUUAAACUUGUCUUUCUCAGUUUAUUUCUUCAAUUUAAUGGCUAAAAAAGGUGAAUGACUAUUAACUCCAAGAAGAAAUCGAGCUAUGAUAGCUGAUAUAUAAAUAAAGAUAAUGCUGGGAACAUUAAAAUUUUAAAUUAAAUUUGUAAGUUAAAUUAUAUGUUAGUAAUAAGAACACGUUAAUUGAUAUUUAAUUAAUAAUCCAACGAUUGACAACCAUAAUAUUUAAUUUGCAAAUUUAGUUUAAAAUAUUUGAUCUCCCUAAAUGUUUAACCGAAUUCUUGUAUUUAGAUUCUAUGUUAAAACCUUAAAUUCUCAUUGAAAUAAAAACAUGGGAGUUUGUUAUUAUCGUUCCCAAAGAAUCAUUGUGCACUCCUCCUUUGGGUUGAGUUUGUGGUUACUUAAUCUUUUUUAAAAAGGUGGAGUCUUAAUUAUGUUGGGUAAAUGAUAAAGAAAAAAAAGUGAUUUUUUUUUCAAAAUUUAUAUAUACUAAAACCCAAACUCGGGUGGCACUGUUCUUAAGCAGUGUGCUUCCCUUUUUGCCCCUGCUUGAUUUGUUUAAUUGCAUUUGUGUCAUGUUUCACACGUGUUGGUCACCGUGCUCCCUUCUUUUUGUUUUUACUCUUCCGGACUCUUCUGGUGUAUUUUAACCCUGGUGUCCAAUAGAAGUCUCUUGACUUCUUCCUCAGAAAUCGCAGAAAUCCAAAAAGGAAAAAACUGUGCUCUUCAACCGAUUAGCGAUUUCGAUUCCGCUUCAUGAGAUCUGUUCGAUCUUUGCUUCCUCAUAUGUUCAUUCUCUUCGACGCGCCAUCGUGCUCCCAAUUUAGCCUUUGACAGGAAACAUUGGUCUUCGAAUUUUAAGGUUUUAUUGUACAAGCUUGCAAGCCCUUUCUGGGUGAGGUAACGUUGCCGUUCGAAUUUUAUGGUUUUUGUAUAGAAGUUUGCAGGCCCCUUCCGAUUAAGGAAGCAGUGGCCAUCGUUUUUGCCGCUUUUGUAUGUACGGUUCCAGAUGCUUGAGAUGAUGAAGAAUAAAAGAAAUUAAAUGCCGCUUUGGAUGAUAAGUUGAUGUCAAUGACAAGUACUAUUGAUGAUACCCACCGUUUCUCGUUUGUUCUAAUGCUGUUGUGAAAAAAUUCUAGGAAAAACAAAAGGAGGUUGAGCCCAUCUACAUAGGGAGUUGAAAGAAAAAUUAAACUCAACAAUUAGAGAAUGAGAAUGCAUCUGAUGAAAAAUAGGAAAUGAACACAUAUAAGGUAAUGUCACAAGGUGGACUUAAAAAGGAUCAAGUAUGCAGGGGAAUGGUAGGAUCAACAUAUCAAAGGUAGAGAUUGACUCUCUCUCAUGUUAAACUUAUACUGUGAUGUUUAUUAUUAUUAAAUUUUGGAAAAAUAAUUGCUUAUCAUAACCUUAUCACAAUAGUAAAUAACAGGGAGAGAGACGAAAAAAAGAGAGGAAUCUAUUUGAUUGUAUGUUUACUUUGGAGAUUUUGGAUAACAGUCAUGAAUUAUGGUCUUAGUGCAUCUCUAUUUUUUUUCUUCACGUUUUUGCUUACUGUUUAUAGCUAAAUGAUUUUUAUUUGGGUCUUCCAAAUUUUUAACUAUUACUAUGAAUCUCUGAUGAAGUUUUAUUAAUUUUUAAUUCAUUGAUUUCAAGUAUGGCCGUUGACUAUGUGAAUUUUAAGUUUUGCACAGUUAAAGAGACUAGAUGAUAAUGUUUCAUUUCUCUCUUUCUCCCUUCUUAUUUUCUCAGCCACGAGUCUUAAUAAGAUACGACUGACUAAGAAUUUGUUAAUCAUUUUAACACGUAUGAGAUAAGAUAUUUACUUUUUAUGAUGCAUUUCUAAUUUUUGCAUAUUACUUGAUUUACUAUUGUUAUAUGGUUGGCAGAAUUUUAUGUUAAGUGUGUCACUAUAUUGUUGUAAUAGUUAAAUUGGAUGUAAUAUGAAGUGUUGGCAUAAAACUAGGCACAACUAAUUAUCUUUCACUUCUUGAGAUACAACCAUUGUUUGAUUUAGCUAUAACUCAUAAAUCUUUAAUUAUAAUUGGUUUUUUUAGUUUACUUGGAUCAGAACUGAUAACCGUAUAAAAAGGCAGUAAAAAUUAAAGUCUGCCUGUUCUGAUGACAACUGAUAAAUAUACAGGUCUGCACGUAUACUGGUUGAUGAAAAGGUGAGCAAUCAUUACUUAAUGAUCUUAAGUAAUAAAUACUUAGUAUUGCUCAUUGAAAAUUUGUUAAUUGUUUCAAUGCAUAUGAUCUAACGUUGCUGCUUUCUGUAAUAAACUCUAUCUAGGAUCUUUAUUUUUUGGGUCAAAACACUAUUUGGGAUCUUUUUGUCAUCUUUAGACAUUGCUUGAUUUUGUAUUGUCAAAUGAUAUAUAUUUUCAUAAUCUUUGUGUCUGUAUAUUAUAUGGAUUUAUUUUUUAUAAUAUUCAGUGUUCUAUUCUUUGUAUUAGAUCUUUUUAUACUUAAAAACAACUUUUCUAUAGUGUUAAUUAAAAUGGUUAAUUGAUAGUUAGUGUUUGCCUAUGCAUAUUAUUGCGUAGUAUUUACUAUGCACAUGCAUAUUCAUGUUAUACUAUAUGUAAUGUUCACUGUUAUUCACUUAUUCACAUGAUAUUUAACAAUAUUUUUUUCUUGCAUUUUUUCCCAUGCUGAAUUGUCAAGCGACAAUCAAUAUAAACAUAUGAAUUUUGUUUCUUCAUUGUUAAUCUACUGAUGCUAGGGAUAAUUUAAGUUUCUACAUUCUUAACAUUUUUCAUAUUUGACUUACAGGAUUAGUGUCAAUGUACACCUUUCCGCAACUGUUUGUUUUGUCUUUUUCCCUCACUCUGUAUAAUUUUAGUCAAAUUGAACUACUUUUUAAAACUUGAGAUUUAACUGAAGUGCUAAGAACUUAGUUAAAUGAAAGUUUACUUUGGUUUGAUGACA